GAUAGGAACUCUCCGAAAAAAUUACGCUGUUAUCCCUAAGGUAAGUUAUUCUUAUAAUCAAUAAUUCCGGAUCAAAAAAACAUAAAUUAAUGAAAUAAAAAUUAAAAGUUAAAUAAAUUUUAAUAUCACCCCAACAAAACUUCACAUUCUAAAAAUAAAUUUAAAAAACAAAAAAUAUAAAUUUAUAAAUAAAGUUAACUUCUAUAGGGUCUUCUCGUCCUAUAAAAAAAUUUUAGCUUUUUAACUAAAAAAUUAAAUUCAAAAUAAUUNAAAAAAGAAAGUAUAUUUUUCAUCAAACCAUUCAUUCUAGCCUCCAAUUAAAAGACAAAUGAUUAUGCUACCUUCGUACAGUUAAAAUACCGCAGCCUUUUAAUUCCAAAAAAUCAAUGGGCAGGCCCGAUCUUAAAUUAAAAAC
rnacentral:rRNA from 1 species